GACGAACCGUGCGAACGUUGUUCGGAAUCACUGGGCUUAAAGGGCGCGUAGGCGGGCUGUCAAGUCUGGGGUGAAAUGCCACGGCUCAACCGUGGAACUGCCUCAGAUACUGACGGCCUCGAGGAAGGUAGGGGCAUGCGGAACUGUAGGUGGAGCGGUGAAAUGCGUUGAUAUCUACAGGAACGCCGGUGGCGAAAGCGGCGUGCUGGACCUUUUCUGACGCUGAGGCGCGAAAGCUAGGGGAGCAAACGGG
rnacentral:rRNA from 1 species